GACGAACGCUGGCGGCGUGCUUAACACAUGCAAGUCGAACGGAAAGGCCUCUUUCGGGGGGUACUCGAGUGGCGAACGGGUGAGUAACACGUGAGUAGCCUGCCCUUGACUUUGGGAUAACUUCAGGAAACUGGGGCUAAUACCGGAUAGGAGCUCCUGCUGCAUGGUGGGGGUUGGAAAGUUUCGGCGGUUGGGGAUGGACUCGCGGCUUAUCAGCUUGUUGGUGGGGUAGUGGCUUACCAAGGCUUUGACGGGUAGCCGGCCUGAGAGGGUGACCGGCCACAUUGGGACUGAGAUACGGCCCAGACUCCUACGGGAGGCAGCAGUGGGGAAUAUUGCACAAUGGGUGGAAGUCUGAUGCAGCAACGCCGUGUGCGGGAUGACGGCCUUCGGGUUGUAAACCGCUUUCGCUCAUGACGAAGCUUUGUGUGACGGUAGUGGGUAAAGAAGCACCGGCUAACUACGUG
rnacentral:rRNA from 1 species